UACGAAGGGGGCUAGCGUUGCUCGGAAUUACUGGGCGUAAAGGGCGCGUAGGCGGCUUUGUAAGUCGGGGGUGAAAGCCUGUGGCUCAACCACAGAAUUGCCUUCGAUACUGCAUGGCUUGAGACCGGAAGAGGUAAGUGGAACUGCGAGUGUAGAGGUGAAAUUCGUAGAUAUUCGCAAGAACACCUGUGGCGAAGGCGGCGGAGUGGGCCGAGCCUGACGCUGAGGCGCGAAGGCGUGGGGAGCGAACGGG
rnacentral:rRNA from 1 species